GCCAGUUGGCGGAGUGGUUAACGCGAUGCCCUGCUAAGGCAUUUCCUUCGGGAGCGUGUGUUCGAAUCACACAGGUG
rnacentral:tRNA from 1 species